rnacentral:rRNA from 1 species
ACACAUGCAAGUCGAGGGGCAGCAUGAACUUAGCUUGCUAAGUUUGAUGGCGACCGGCGCACGGGUGAGUAACACGUAUCCAACCUGCCGAUGACUCGGGGAUAGCCUUUCGAAAGAAAGAUUAAUACCCGAUGGCAUAGUUCUUCCGCAUGGUAGAACUAUUAAAGAAUUACGGUCAUCGAUGGGGAUGCGUUCCAUUAGGUUGUUGGCGGGGUAACGGCCCACCAAGCCUUCGAUGGAUAGGGGUUCUGAGAGGAAGGUCCCCCACAUUGGAACUGAGACACGGUCCAAACUCCUACGGGAGGCAGCAGUGAGGAAUAUUGGUCAAUGGACGAGAGUCUGAACCAGCCAAGUAGCGUGAAGGAUGACUGCCCUAUGGGUUGUAAACUUCUUUUAUACGGGAAUAAAGUGAGGCACGUGUGCCUUUUUGUAUGUACCGUAUGAAUAAGGAUCGGCUAACUCCGUGCCAGCAGCCGCGGUAAUACGGAGGAUCCGAGCGUUAUCCGGAUUAAUUGGGUUUAAAGGGAGCGUAGGCGGACGCUUAAGUCAGUUGUGAAAGUUUGCGGCUCAACCGUAAAAUUGCAGUUGAUACUGGGUGUCUUGAGUACAGUAGAGGCAGGCGGAAUUCGUGGUGUAGCGGGGAAAUGCUUAGAUAUCACGAAGAACUCCGAUUGCGAAGGCAGCUUGCCCGCCCGUAUCUGACGCUGAUGCUCGAAAGUGUGGGUAUCAAACAGGAUUAGAUACCCUGGUAGUCCCCACCGUAAACGAUGAAUACUCGCGGUUUGCGAUAUAC